GAUGAACGCUGGCGGCGUGCCUAAUACAUGCAAGUAGAACGCUGAAGGAAGGAGCUUGCUCUUUCCGGAUGAGUUGCGAACGGGUGAGUAACGCGUAGGUAACCUGCCUGGUAGCGGGGGAUAACUAUUGGAAACGAUAGCUAAUACCGCAUAACAGUAGAUGUUGCAUGAUAUCUACUUAAAAGGUGCAAUUGCACCACUACCAGAUGGACCUGCGUUGUAUUAGCUAGUUGGUGAGGUAACGGCUCACCAAGGCGACGAUACAUAGCCGACCUGAGAGGGUGAUCGGCCACACUGGGACUGAGACACGGCCCAGACGCCUACGGGAGGCAGCAGUAGGGAAUCUUCGGCAAUGGACGGAAGUCUGACCGAGCAACGCCGCGUGAGGGAAGAAGGUUGUCGGAUCGUAAAGCUCGGUUGUAAGAGAAGAACGAGGGUGAGAGUGGAAAGUUCACACUGUGACGGUAUCUUAACAGAAAGGGACGGCUAACUACGUG
rnacentral:rRNA from 1 species